rnacentral:misc_RNA from 1 species
GUAUGUAUGUAUGUAUGUAAAGUUCAUGCCAAAUCAAGCGAACAUCGGCAUAAGGAUAAAUUAUCCCUGACUAAAAAUCUAAAUGUAAUCGGUGUGAUGCUUAAUUCGCAUUUGAGCAAAUACACGGGGAAAUUGAUGGAGAAGAAACGGUUUUGUUUUACAAUAAUUAUCACAUUGGAUUACAACAAAUUCGGACUUAGAUUGUUAGUAAAUAACGCAAUGUACAAAUCAGCUAUCAACAUGUUAUUGUAAUGGAUAUUCUCAAAGAAUUCGAUAUCUUUAAUACACAAAUCAACGGAUAGGGUGUGAAGAUGAAAGCAUAUACAUCUCCCAUCAUAAGGCUGAAGAAAUUAAAGUUGCAUGCACGUUACCAAAAGAGAACGAUGUGCAAAGGCCUCAACUAAAAUAGUUA